UGCAUUUGAUACAACACUAUUUGACUAUUUGUUAACUUUGUUUUCCCAUCCUUGCAGCCUUAGUGGCAUCUGCAAGAAAGGAAGACAGUCAGACAGAGAUUUCUUCGCACUGAUGAAUUAGACCAGGAGCAUGUUUUCACAAAAACAUCGAUGGCUCAGAAAAUGAGGAGCAAAAAAGACUUUCUGUAGGACAGCACACAAAACUAGAAUGCCUUUCAGCAAUAUUUUCUGAAGAGUAGCAAACAAGGCCAGUGUGGCCUUUUCGUCCAGGGGACUACUUAAAUAUUCAAGUGAGAGGAGGCCAGUGGAGGAAAGCUCUCAGUAAGACACCUGGAAGGCACAAUGGAGCUCAGGACUGUGUGAUACAACCACCAUCAGCUUCUCAAGGCAUACAGUUCUACUGGCUGAUAAUGAGAUGAAGAACCCGGUGUCCAGACGUGAACGCUCAGAUGAAGUCCGGCCGACAGACAGCCCAGCCAUGGCCACUACAUCCUGAAUCUAGGCAAAUAGGAGCCGGGCAGUCAGCCUUCGAGGGAAAGAUCCGCUCAAUUACUUCCCCAACUUUCAGCUGAGGUCUUCUUACUGACCGGCUGAGAGGAUCUGUAAUGAGAGCGGAUUUAGAAUAAAAAGAUGUGCCCAUCUACAAAAGCAGAAGGGAGCUUGGCCUCGCAUUGAUGGCUGGAAAUGGUGGGGAGGUCAAGGCGAAUCUGUGAAGCGUCGCUCCGGUGAAGGAUAUGGCAGAACGGCCCAGCAGAUACAGAGAGAAAGGUGGUCCGCUUCCCAGCUCAUCCAAAGCCUCAUAAGCAACAUAAAUGGAGCUUUGCUCCACUCGUCUACACUCUGGAAAGACCUUAAUGGCCCCCAUUAACACAAACCAAGAGGAGGUCUUAUGGAAGGCAGCCACAGAGUUACUCAAAAGCUGAAAAUCAGAGGCUGAAGACUUGGAAGAACCAGAUUUUCUUUGAACCAAAGAAGAGGACCUUUCUUUCUUCUUUACCGUUUAGAUUAUUAUAAAUGCACCUAAAUCUUUGCCUAUUUAGCUAUAUUAAUAUAUAAAUGUUCCAAAAUUGAUUUCAGUACUUUAGCAAUAAAUUAUGCAUUGAAUUGAAAAAAAUAUAAUAUGACAAAAACGGAUGAAUCAAGUACAUACCAUCACUUCCUGGAUUUGGCAAAGUUAGUGUAUUACUAGCUUCUCAUUUCAAGAUCAUUCGGAAUUUUGACUUCUGUCCUCAUAUGAUCUAAACAACAUGCCAAUUAAAUGGUCUGUGAACUAAUCAGCCUCAGAAACACUUUCAAAGGAAAUUGAUUAUUUCUGAAAGAAAACAUGAAAUUAGUCUUGUACUUCUUGCCUUAUUUCAGAGAAUAGAAAUCAUGCUUAUGCUAUCUAAUUCAAACCGGUGCUAGCUCGCUCGGAGAGGAAGGACAUCAGAAGUUAAUUACACUCAGCUGUGAAUUGAAACCAUAUCUAAUUGCAUGCUGGAUUAAUUACAAGCAUCUGUGGUGUGCAUGCCUAAACAAGAGCCCUCAUAAAUAACAGCAGGUACAUCAGCACAGAUGGGAAUUCUCCAGCACAGAAAAAAUGCUACUACUGUACUUCUUGUUUGGUAAGACUUAGAAUCUUAGUAUCUUGGAAUCGUUAUAUUUUCUGAACCUAUUUAUCCUGGUAUUAAUAUUUGUCUCUGGCCAGCUGAGAUAGAUUGCCGUUUAAAGUCUUAAAGUGUCUCCUGUGGCCAAUGUUUGUGUAUGUAUUUACGUGUAAUGUUGUCAGGUUUUCCUUUCUUUACGAUGGCCAAAUGUAUCCAGAUGUUUCUGAGG